ensembl:lncRNA
UGCAAACUGGUUCUAGUGUAAAUAUUUUUUUCUCUCUCCAGACAAACACAAAAGUCAGAAAUAACAGUGAUUCUGAGAGCAGAAGGUCAAAGGUCACCUGAAGGGGAAAGCCAUUUUGCCAGGGAGAGAAGGAAGGAACGAUUCCUUGGCAGAGUGUGUACGUGUUGUAAUUUGAGAGUGCAAACUGAUGUGUUUUUGAAGCCUGGCAGUGACACAGAGGAGAUUUCGACUGAAGCUGCUGAUGGAUGAUAAUCAGGAGAUUGUGAUUUUCAAGGCCACAAAAAUCCACUCUAAUUCAUCUGUUUUUCCUGGAGGCUUCUGAAACUGAGGUCAGAAUGUCAUGGGACGUGACAGGCUUUUUCUUUUUUUUACUGAGGUUUAUACAAGUUCAUGGUUGCAGGGCGAGGCUAAAAUAACACCUGACAGUCUACUGCAAGCCAUUACAUUAUGAUGCCUCAUAACAAAUCCUACAACAUUGUACUGUCUGACAGGAUUAGAUUCAGAUAUAUGCAGAAAAUAUGCAGUUUAAUCCACAAAGGAGUGACUGAAGGAGUUUCACAACCUUUAUCCACAAGGCUUCUCCAGUUGCGACUGACUGAUAGGAAUUUCUGUGGAUUAGCAGAGCUCCUACACUUUCUAUUAAAAAUUGGCUGCCAUUCAGGAAGGGGGCAACAGAUGGUACCUUCUAUGAACAGGAGACAAUGGUAGAAAAGCUGAAAAAAGUUUUUACUUUUUGUGUCUGUAGCUAUAAUAGGUACAAAUAAACAAAACAGAAUUUCUGUCCUUUUGGCUUUUUUUUUUUUAAAGUUACCAUUGACCAUUGGCUUUUCUUACAGAAAAGCUGGUUUACCCAUAAAAUGCUAGCUGAAGCAUGCUAAUUGGUUUACAUUACGCAACAGCACAUGCAUAGUUGUGGUGGUUGUAGGUGUGACAGAAGUCUGGACAUGAAGUCCCCAGAGUGGUGCAUAUUAGCAGUAGAUUACACACGAUGUUAUAUGUGUCGUGGAAAGCAUGAAUUAAACUGUCUUGAUUGUAGACAACAUUAAUAUUAAGUGUAGUUAAGUUUCUUUACACCAACAGAAAAUAGGGUUUCACAGGUCCGGCCCACAUAAGAUCAAAGUGAGCUGUAUAUGGCCUGCCAUGUAAAAGGAGUUUGGCAUCCUUGCACUACGCAACAAGCAUCAAAGUUGGGUUAGAGUUAAAUAACCUUGUGACUGUAUUGCUUUGUUCUGUCUGGUGUUGUACUGUUACUUGUGAUUUUAUUUGGAAUCUUGCACUUUAUGCAGUCCUGUGUUGAUUGUCUAUGUAGCACCAUUGUCUUGGAUCAACGCUGUUUCAUUUCACUCUGUACUGUACCACAUUAAAAUGACAAUAAAGCCA